rnacentral:rRNA from 1 species
UAGACCUCAAAUCAGUCAGGACUACCCGCUGAACUUAAGCAUAUCAAUAAGCGGAGGAAAAGAAACUAACAAGGAUUCCCCUAGUAACGGCGAGUGAAGUGGGAAAAGCUCAACUUUGAAAUCUGGUACUUUCAGUAUCCGAAUUGUAGUCUCAAGAAGUGUUUUCUGUGCCGGUCCAUGUAUGAGUCUGUUGGAACACAGCGUCAUAGAGGGUGACAACCCCGUUCAUGACAUGGAUCCCGGUGCUUUGUGAUACACUCUCGAAGAGUCGAGUUGUUUGGGAAUGCAGCUCAAAUUGGGUGGUAAAUUCCAUCUAAAGCUAAAUAUUGGCGAGAGACCGAUAGCAAACAAGUACCGUGAGGGAAAGAUGAAAAGCACUUUGGAAAGAGAGUUAACAGUACGUGAAAUUGUUGAAAGGGAAACGAUUGAAGUCAGACGUGCGUGAUGCGGUUCAGCUUUAGUUCGCUAGAGUGUACUCCGUAUCUUUGCAGGCCAGCAUCGGUUUUGUUAGUCGGAUAAAGGUUUGAGAAAUGUGGCAUCUUCGGAUGUGUUAUAGUCUCAGACUGAAUACGAUUGAUGGGACCGAGGAACGCAGCGCGCCGCAAGGCAAAGGUUCCGACCUUUCGCG